CAGAGCUCAAAAUAGAAGAGCUCCUCUGUCCACGGGAUUCUCCAGGCAAGAAUAAUGGUGUCGAUUGCCAUGCCUUCUUCCAGCGGCUUUUCCGGACCCAAGGAUGGAACCCAUAUCUCUUAUGUCUCCUGCAUUGGCAGCCAAGAAUGC